AACCAGGUCACCACACAAACCUCAGGGACCACCUGUCCUCCCACCUGGACGUGGGGCACACCCUGCAGCAGGUCCAUGGAGAGCUAGAGAUGAAGGGCCCAGGCCGGGCCCAGGCCUGCCCACAGCCAGCCGCUCCGUGGGAGGAGAUUCUUGGAGCCAGAAUUGAGAACUCCACGACUGUCCUGCAGAUGACAGCACCCUGCCCACAGCAGAUGACUUGCCGAGCUUUGAAUAUGGAUAGUGCCCCCCAAAGUCCAUCCGUAAGUGCUCCCCAAGGUAGCACUACUGGGACAUGCUGUGGACCUUUCAGAGGUGGGGCUCCAUGGGAGGUCCUUAGGUUGUGGGGGGUGCGCCCUCAAAGGGGACUGUGGGACCUCAGUCUAUCCUCUAUUUCCUGGCUGGGGAUGUGAGCAUUUUGUUACCUCUCCACCAGGAGAGACCACACUCACGAGAGGCCCACACCAAUGGGGCCAUUAAGUUUUGGAUUGACACCUCCGAAUCUGUAAGCUAAAUAAAUCUUCAUAACUCCAUUGUCCAAGGAUUUCACUGUAGUAAUGUGAAGCUAACUCAUGCAACUCCCAGACCAAGUGAGACUUGGAGCAAGACCUGCAUCUGAGUAUGUAGGCCAACGUCAAUGCUGGCAAAAGGUACCGGGCAGGCUGACCUGGGCCGGGACUGACCUAGGGAUGCAGUUCAACCACAAGGAGGAAAUGAAAUCAGUUCCCUGGGGCCCAGGUGGGUGGCCAAGUCAGCAUGGCUGUGAAUUCUGCCCAGACAUCGACCUCAUGGAGGUCCUGAGUGACAUGGGGAGAAAACAUGAAGUCAUGGUGGAGAAGGCUGGAAGGGUGCCAAAGCCGGGUCAGCAGUCAGACCCAGGAGAGGAAUCUGGAAGCAGCCGGCCACAUGAAGCCGCUCCAGAUGACUGGGUCUGAGUCACCGACUUGCAUGUACCCGCCGGGGACUCGGGAUCAAGCGCGAUCCCUCGGCAUGGAAGCCACCUGGAAAUCAUGCUGGACGAACCAAGGCCCACUGUUGCAGAUUCCUCAGAGUUGAAGAUCUGAAUUUUUCGUGUUAGAAUACAUUUUCACACAAGCUAAUCUAUUAAUGGAUUGUCUGAUA
rnacentral:lncRNA from 1 species